GACGACCGGCGCACGGGUGCGUAACGCGUAUACAAUCUACCUUUUGCUGAGGGAUAGCCUUUGGAAACGAAGAUUAAUACCUCAUGGUAUGUAGGGAUGGCAUCAUCCUUAUAUUAAAGGUUACGGCAAAAGAUGAGUAUGCGUUCUAUUAGUUAGUUGGUGUGGUAACGGCACACCAAGACUACGAUAGAUAGGGGCCCUGAGAGGGGGAUCCCCCACACUGGUACUGAGACACGGACCAGACUCCUACGGGAGGCAGCAGUGAGGAAUAUUGGACAAUGGAGGCAACUCUGAUCCAGCCAUGCCGCGUGCAGGAAGACUGCCCUAUGGGUUGUAAACUGCUUUUAUACAGGAAGAAACCGCUCUACGUGUAGAGCCUUGACGGUACUGUAAGAAUAAGGAUCGGCUAACUCCGUGCCAGCAGCCGCGGUAAUACGGAGGAUCCAAGCGUUAUCCGGAAUCAUUGGGUUUAAAGGGUCCGUAGGUGGAUAAUUAAGUCAGAGGUGAAAUCCUGCAGCUCAACUGUAGAAUUGCCUUUGAUACUGGUUAUCUUGAAUUAUUGUGAAGUAGUUAGAAUAUGUAGUGUAGCGGUGAAAUGCAUAGAUAUUACAUAGAAUACCAAUUGCGAAGGCAGAUUACUAACAAUCAAUUGACACUGAUGGACGAAAGCGUGGGGAGCGAACAGGAUUAGAUACCCUGGUAGUCCACGCCGUAAACGAUGGUCACUAGCUGUUCGAACUUCGGUUUGAGUGGCUAAGAGAAAUUGAUAAGUGACCCACCUGGGGAGUACGUUCGCAAGAAUGAAACUCAAAGGAAUUGACGGGGGGGCCC
rnacentral:rRNA from 1 species